ACGCUCGACACCUACGGGGGCAGCAGUAGGGAAUCUUCCACAAUGGGCGCAAGCCUGAUGGAGCAACACCGCGUGAGUGAAGAAGGGUUUCGGCUCGUAAAGCUCUGUUGUUGGAGAAGAACGUGCGUGAGAGUAACUGUUCACGCAGUGACGGUAUCCAACCAGAAAGUCACGGCUAACUACGUGCCAGCAGCCGCGGUAAUCUGAGCGGGCUGGCGAAGGC
rnacentral:rRNA from 1 species